GUGUAACAAACGCUAAUGCCGUUCAUUGAUUAUCGGGAUGUAGUGUAUGCACCUGCAUAAACUUAAAGGGAAACUAUAGUGCCAGGAAAACAUACUAAUUUUCCUGGCACUAUAGCUUCCCCCUCCUGUGGCGCUCGUAUUAGGAUCUCCCCAUAGGAAAGUAUUAUUCACUGCUUUCCGAUGGGAUAUUCCGGUGACGCUGGAAGUUAUGUUCAGCGUCGUUUAGCCAACCAGAAGUCCCCUAUCCACAUGGAAGUCCCUCUAGUGGCUGUCUGGUAGACAGCCACUAGAGGAGGAGUUAACCCUAGCAGGUAAUUAGUGCAGUUUAUAAAACCUACAAUAAUUACAUGCUAUGGGUAAAGGUUGAUGGGAGUUUGCACCCAGACCACUUUAAUGAGCUGAAGUGGUCUGGGUGCCUACAGUGUCCCUUUAAUGUGUUAUAUAAUUUGUUUUGCCGCUUUGUACUAGAAUGUAAUUACAUGACCCACCACUGUGACAUGUUAAAAGAGCUCAACUGGCUAUCGCUGGAAUCCCGACGCACCCUUCAUCUUUCCAGCUUUGUGUUUAAGAGCAUUUAUGGGAAGCUCCCUCCCUACCUGAGUAGAAUGCUCUCCCCAACUGUUCCCAUCUCCUAAAACCUCC